rnacentral:misc_RNA from 1 species
GGUAUUGAAAUACUCCCUAACCUGGGUAAUUACCCCAUCCGUAACAGUCCAGGCGUGAACCCAAGUAAUAGAUCGGGUCGGGUCACAGCCUUCCACGAGAACCACGGAGCCGAAUACGUCAAUGGUUUUAUGAAGAAAUUGAAAAGAGGCGUUAUCGAAUUUAGCAGUACCGGUGAGUAUUUGCAUCAAAAAUUGAUGAGAAGGAGGACCAUGGAACCACCACUCAAGG